AAAAAAAGAAGAAGAUAAAGA
rnacentral:sRNA from 1 species